UAUCGACGAUUUAACUGUAAUAAAAUGCCGCAAAUUAAAUGUUGAAAAUGUCUUGUUAUUACAUAAACUCCAAAUAAAGAAAUUUUGACUCGGAAAAUGCUGAUCACAUGCAUUAUAUGUAGCUUUUUUUUUUAUCAAACAUUGUAUGUAGCUAAGACCGACAUAUCACGCCUCCCUAUCAAAUCCUUAAUUAAAUCAUAAACCCUACACCCAC
rnacentral:lncRNA from 1 species